UACGUAGGGUGCAAGCGUUGUCCGGAAUUAUUGGGCGUAAAGAGCUCGUAGGCGGCUUGUUGCGUCGGCUGUGAAACCCCGGGGCUCAACCCCGGGUCUGCAGUCGAUACGGGCAGGCUAGAGUCCGGCAGGGGAGACUGGAAUUCCUGGUGUAGCGGUGAAAUGCGCAGAUAUCAGGAGGAACACCGGUGGCGAAGGCGGAUCUCUGGGCCUUGCCUGACGCUGAGGCGCGAAAGCUAGGGGAGCGAACAGG
rnacentral:rRNA from 1 species